CCCACCCCCGCCCUGGCCAGUGGCUCCAGGUUCUGCCCCGUCGGGAGCCGGGACCGCAGGAGUCAGGGGUCGGUGACCCCUCUGCCCUGACAACUGUCUGACCCACCUCCCUCUCCCUGCUGUUUCAGCCCUGGUUCCUGUCUUAGUAGAGAGGCAGUCGAGAUGGCCGCUGCUGAGCUUUCUAAUGCCUUUGCUGAGAGAGUGUUGGGGAGCUCUCUGCUUGCUAAUGUACAGACGGUUUUCAAGUAUAGUCCUUAGAAUCCAAGAGGAUUUGUCCAUGGAUACAGAGCUAUAGGCCAAAAGAUUCUGCAAGUCCCAGCUAUUUUUGUACACUGGACACGUUACCCGCUUCGAUGCAACCAGAAAUAAAAGUCUUGUGGCGUUUU